GCGCGCACACCAGCUCGGCCCGCGGAGCCGGGGGCACGGGAGUCCCCGCCACCCGCAGGAGGAGCCCGAGCGGCCGCAUCCUCCGGAGAGACGCCGCGGGCUCCGCAGCCGCCCUCCCCCUCCUCUGAGAGGCGAGCGCCGCCCGUCCCCGCGCCCCGAGCCUCCACCUGCCGCGGACUCGCGGGCUGCCGGGCGCGGGGCAGAGAAGGUGCGAGAAACAGGGGCCCGAGAGACAGCGGCUCUCGGGGACCGCUCCGCGCAGAGAGGGGACGCCCUUCCACGCCGCCAGCCCCCGCGCGUUCGGCGCCCCGGCCCCGAGUUCAAGGGCCACCGCCCUCGGAGGGGGCUCUCCGCGCGGGCAGCGCCCCGUCCCGGGGCUCCGGCGCCUCGCCCCACCACCACCACCACCCCGCGGCGGGGCCAUGCCGGGGCUGCGCCGGGACCGCCUACGGACCCUGCUGCUGCUGGGCGUGCUGCUGGCCGCCGACCUCUACUUCCACCUCGGGCCCCGGGUACGGCGCCGGCUGCGGCCCCGGGAGCGCCCGCCCGGCUGCCCGUGCGCCCACCGCGCCGCCACCUCGGCCCCUCGGCCGGCCGCGCGCCACGUUCCCGCGGCCGAGCCGGACGGCGGCGGCCCCGGCUCCAAGCUGCGGGCCCUCUUCGCGCACCCGCUGUACAACGAGCCGGAGAAGCCGCCGCUGCUGGGGCCCGAGGACUCGCUCCUGGCCGGCCCCGAGGCGCUGCGCUAUUACCGGAGGAAGGUGGCCCGCUGGAACAGGCGACACAGGAUAUACAAAGAGCAGCUGAAUCUCACUUCCCUGGAUCCCCCACUGCAGCUCCACCUGGAGACCAGCUGGAUCCAGUUCCACCUGGGGAUCAGCCGCCACGGCCUGUACUCCCGGUCCAGUCCUGUCGUCAGCAAACUUCUCCACGACAUGAGGCACCUUCCCACCAUCAGCGCUGACUACAGUCAGGACGAGAAAGCCUUGCUUGGAGCCUGCGACUGCACCCAGAUCGUGAAACCCAGUGGGGUCCACCUCAAACUGGUUCUGAGGUUCUCGGACUUCGGGAAGGCCAUGUUCAAACCUAUGAGACAGCUGCGAGAUGAAGAGACGCCCGAGGACUUCUUCUACUUCAUUGAUUUUCAGAGACACAACGCUGAGAUUGCAGCUUUCCAUCUGGACAGAUGUGAACUGGGCUCCCCCUCUUUCAGGAUUCUGGACUUCCGACGGGUACCACCGACCGUAGGGAGGCUAGUCAAUGUCACCAAGGAAAUCCUGGAGGUCACCAAGAAUGAGAUCCUGCAGAGUGUUUUCUUUAUCUCUCCAGCCAGCAACGUGUGUUUCUUCGCCAAGUGCCCGUACCUGUGCAAGACGGAGUACGCCGUAUGCGGCAACCCGCACCUGCUGGAGGGCUCCCUGUCCGCAUUCCUGCCGUCCCUCAACUUGGCCCCCCGGCUGUCCGUCCCCAGCCCCUGGAUCCGCUCCUACUCGCUGGCGGGCAAAGAGGAGUGGGAAGUCAACCCUCUUUACUGCGACACGGUGAAGCAGGUCUACCCGCACAGCAGCAGCGGCCGCCUCCUCAACAUCAUCGACAUGGCCAUCUUCGACUUCCUGACGGGAAACAUGGACCGGCACCACUACGAGACGUUCACCAAAUUUGGGGACGACGGGUUCCUGAUUCACCUCGACAACGCCAGGGGGUUUGGACGGCACUCCCACGACGAAGUCUCCAUCCUCUCGCCACUCUCCCAGUGCUGCCGAAUAAAAAGGAAAACACUCUCGCACCUGCAGCUGCUGGCCCAAGCCGACUACAGACUCAGCGACGUAAUGAGGGAGUCGCUGCUGGAAGACCAGCUCACGCCUGUGCUCACAGAGCCGCACCUCCUCGCCCUGGAUCGCAGGCUCCAGACUGUCCUGAGGACCGUGCGGGGCUGCAUUGAGGCCCACGGAGAGCACAGCGUCGUGGCCAACGGCCCCACGGGACAGUCGGCCCCAGACUCCGGCCCCAGCUAGGGGCUGGACGAGUCCAACCUCGGGAACUACGCCUGGAGCCCGCGGUGGACUCUGGAGUGUGGACCACAGUGUCCUCACGGGCCCCAGGCCAGGCUGGGGCCUGGGUCAGGAGCUCACGAAGCAGGCAGGGCACUGGGAUGAUUCCAAAAGAGCAGAAGAAGUGGGACCCACUGCACUUUCCUCCUUGGAGCACUGCCCUGGCUCCCUAUCUCCCCAGAAGCUCUGCUUCAAGGCCACAGACCACCUGCUGAGCCCACUGGGAAAUCUAGACACGGGACCAGCCUGGAAGCCUGGCUCCCAGGAGAGAGCAUUAACUGUAACAAAUAAAAUUACGGGACAUCAGAUGGACACCCCCAGAUCUUUAUUACAUCUACAAGGAUAAUUCCCAAUCCAGAUUAAUAAACAUCUGGCAUCUCACAAGCAGACCCCCCCAAAAAAACCUAAAUAUGGUAACUCCAACUGGUUCAAAGUAGUCUGCACACUUUCUAUUCAUAUUCUAAACACUGUGGCCCAGUCUGAACACAAUAAUCCCUACUGACUGGUCCUAAAGUAAUUUCUCAGAAGUGUUAUUACAAGAGGUGAAAAUAACAUAGGGAUUUGCUCAGAGUAUCAGCAAAGGGAUAUUUCAAUCCGAAGAGUAAAUGUCAAUUGAAAUAACAUCAAGGCUGUCAAAGCUGGCAUCCAGCAACAAUAGAAGGCAAAGCGAGGGUGGCCCUGAGGGGGGACAGCGGAAGAACAGGUCCGGCAGGUCCAUGAGCCUGGACUAAGCAGCACAGCCAGGACCGACCCGAGCCCACCGUCUUUCCUGAUGGCUAUUAUGAUGGUGAUCAACACACUGCUUCUCCAUGUUGUUUUAGUAGUUUUAGCCCAUCUAGAAGUACACUGCCAGGGCCUAACAAAAAUACAAAAAGGUCCAGAUGGGAGAGGCCACAACAGUGAGAGGCCUGCGUACCGCAAAAAAAAAAAAAAAAAAAAAAAUACAAAAAGGGUUCAGCUGUUCAUCUGUGGUUGGAGAGAAAGCAAUAUUAAGAAAACUAACAUCAUACUACUUCAAUUUUACACUGUCAAUAUUUAAGCCAUUAAAAUACAAAAAGGGAUUUCAUAUAAGCCAGUGUUUUCGAGGGAAAAUUAAACUACAACCAGUACAGUCAACCCAGGAAAAUGUUCUUCAAUUAUAUUCUGUUGUGACUCAAAAGGUUCCAACUCCAGCAGGUUGAGGGAGGGGAUUACUGAAUCUGGACAAAGUGCAUGUGUUACAAAGUAGCACAACUUAAGCAAUGUUCUGGGCAAUACAACAUUAUCUCCAACUCCACUGGAUGCAAAUGAAUUAAUUCCAAUAUGCUAAUGAAUUCAAUUUAAUCGUCCCCACCUCAGAAAUGAGAAAUGUUAGAAAUGACUUUAUAUGUAUGUGAAAUACAGAAGCAUACCUAAAUAUAUGAAUGCACAUAUUAAAUUUAAACCAAAGAGUAUGCUGACCUAGAAAUGACAUCCCCCAUUAAGUGUGGGAAAGUUCCAAAGCCAGAGAACCAGUCUACCCUCAAUAAAAAGGAAAUCUUUGACCUCUGA